rnacentral:rRNA from 1 species
AAUAUUGGGCAAUGGAGGAAACUCUGACCCAGCAACGCCGCGUUAAGGAAGAAGGUCUUCGGAUUGUAAACUUAUGUUGCAGAGGACGAAAGAAAUGACGGUACUCUGCGAGGAAGCCCCGGCAAACUAUGUGCCAGCAGCCGCGGUAAUACAUAGGGGGCGAGCGUUGUCCGGAAUGACUGGGCGUAAAGGGAGCGUAGGCGGUUGUGUGUGUUAUCUGUGAAAGCCCGAGGCUUAACCUCGGAACGGCAGAUAAAACUGCACAACUAGAGCGUGGGAGAGGAAAGUGGAAUUCCUAGUGUAGCGGUGGAAUGCGUAGAUAUUAGGAGGAACAUCAGUGGCGAAGGCGGCUUUCUGGACCAUAACUGACGCUGAGGCUCGAAAGCGUGGGGAGCAAAC